UACGAAGGGAGCUAGCGUUGUUCGGAAUCACUGGGCGUAAAGCGCACGUAGGCGGAUUUGCCAGUCAGGGGUGAAAUCCCGGGGCUCAACCUCGGAACUGCCUUUGAUACAGCAAGUCUUGAGUUCGAGAGAGGUGGGUGGAAUUCCUAGUGUAGAGGUGAAAUUCGUAGAUAUUAGGAAGAACACCGGUGGCGAAGGCGGCCCACUGGCUCGGUACUGACGCUGAGGUGCGAAAGCGUGGGGAGCAAACAGG
rnacentral:rRNA from 1 species